rnacentral:rRNA from 1 species
CCCUUAUCCUUUGUUGCCAGCGGUCCGGCCGGGAACUCAAAGGAGACUGCCAGUGAUAAACUGGAGGAAGGUGGGGAUGACGUCAAGUCAUCAUGGCCCUUACGACCAGGGCUACACACGUGCUACAAUGGCGCAUACAAAGAGAAGCGACCUCGCGAGAGCAAGCGGACCUCAUAAAGUGCGUCGUAGUCCGGAUUGGAGUCUGCAACUCGACUCCAUGAAGUCGGAAUCGCUAGUAAUCGUGGAUCAGAAUGCCACGGUGAAUACGUUCCCGGGCCUUGUACACACCGCCCGUCACACCAUGGGAGUGGGUUGCAAAAGAAGUAGGUAGCUUAACCUUCGGGAGGGCGCUUACCACUUUGUGAUUCAUGACUGGGGUGAAGUCGUAACAAGGUAACCGUAGGGGAACCUGCGGUUGGAUCACCUCCUUACCUUAAAGAAGC